GAUGAAGAACGUAGCGAAAUGCGAUACUUGGUGUGAAUUGCAGAAUCCCGUGAACCAUCGAGUCUUUGAACGCAAGUUGCGCCCGAAGCCAUUAGGCCGAGGGCACGCCUGCCUGGGCGUCACACGUCGUUGCCCCCCCCAUCUACUCCUUCGGGAUUGCGGGGGGCGGAUGAUGGCCUCCCGUGCGCCUCGCCGCGCGGUUGGCAUAAAUGCCAAGUCCUCGGCGAUGCACGCCACGACAAUCGGUGGUUGCGAAACCGCGGUUGCCCGUCGUGUGCGGUCGUCGCGCAUCGAGGGCUCGAAAAAAUUGCCGGGUUCCGGCUCGGCUUUCAACGCGACCCCAGGUCAGGCGGGGUUACCCGCUGAAUUUAAGCAUAUCAAUAAGCGGAGGA
rnacentral:misc_RNA from 1 species